rnacentral:rRNA from 1 species
AGGACGAACGCUGGCGGCGUGCUUAACACAUGCAAGUCGAACGAGAUCCAACUGGUGGCAACACCAGUGAAGAUCUAGUGGCGAACGGGUGAGUAACACGUGAGCAACCUGCCCCGAAGACUGGGAUAACAGCGGGAAACCGCUGCUAAUACCGGAUGUCCCCAUCGGACCACAUGGCCUGAUGAGGAAAUGGAUUCCGCUUCGGGAGGGGCUCGCGGCCUAUCAGCUUGUUGGUGGGGUAACGGCCCACCAAGGCGACGAUCCGUAGCUGGUCUGAGAGGACGAUCAGCCACACUGGGACUGAGACACGGCCCAGACUCCUACGGGAGGCAGCAGUGGGGAAUCUUGCACAAUGGGCGAAAGCCUGAUCCAGCAAUGCCGCGUGAGUGAUGAAGGCCUUAGGGUUGUAAAGCUCUUUCGCGCGCGACGAUGAUGACGGUAGCGCGAGAAGAAGCCCCGGCUAACUUCGUGCCAGCAGCCGG